AGGGUUCGAUUCUGGCUCAGGAUGAACGCUGGCGGCGUGCUUAACACAUGCAAGUCGAACGGGAUCCAUCAGGCUUUGCUUGGUGGUGAGAGUGGCGAACGGGUGAGUAAUGCGUGACCGACCUGCCCCAUGCACCGGAAUAGCUCCUGGAAACGGGUGGUAAUGCCGGAUGCUCCAUCACACCGCAUGGUGUGUUGGGAAAGCCUUUGCGGCAUGGGAUGGGGUCGCGUCCUAUCAGCUUGAUGGCGGGGUAACGGCCCACCAUGGCUUCGACGGGUAGCCGGCCUGAGAGGGCGACCGGCCACAUUGGGACUGAGAUACGGCCCAGACUCCUACGGGAGGCAGCAGUGGGGAAUAUUGCACAAUGGGCGCAAGCCUGAUGCAGCGACGCCGCGUGAGGGAUGGAGGCCUUCGGGUUGUAAACCUCUUUUGUUAGGGAGCAAGGCACUUUGUGUUGAGUGUACCUUUCGAAUAAGCACCGGCUAACUACGUGCCAGCAGCCGCGGUAAUACGUAGGGUGCAAGCGUUAUCCGGAAUUAUUGGGCGUAAAGGGCUCGUAGGCGGUUCGUCGCGUCCGGUGUGAAAGUCCAUCGCUUAACGGUGGAUCCGCGCCGGGUACGGGCGGGCUUGAGUGCGGUAGGGGAGACUGGAAUUCCCGGUGUAACGGUGGAAUGUGUAGAUAUCGGGAAGAACACCAAUGGCGAAGGCAGGUCUCUGGGCCGUUACUGACGCUGAGGAGCGAAAGCGUGGGGAGCGAACAGGAUUAGAUACCCUGGUAGUCCACGCCGUAAACGGUGGAUGCUGGAUGUGGGGCCCGUUCCACGGGUUCCGUGUCGGAGCUAACG
rnacentral:rRNA from 1 species